rnacentral:rRNA from 1 species
GACGAACGCUGGCGGCGUGCUUAACACAUGCAAGUCGAACGGAAAGGCCCUGCUUGCAGGGUACUCGAGUGGCGAACGGGUGAGUAACACGUGGGUGAUCUGCCCUGCACUUCGGGAUAAGCCUGGGAAACUGGGUCUAAUACCGGAUAGGAGCCAUUUUUAGUGUGAUGGUUGGAAAGUUUUUUCGGUGUAGGAUGAGCUCGCGGCCUAUCAGCUUGUUGGUGGGGUAAUGGCCUACCAAGGCGGCGACGGGUAGCCGGCCUGAGAGGGUGGACGGCCACAUUGGGACUGAGAUACGGCCCAGACUCCUACGGGAGGCAGCAGGGGGGAAGAUUGCACAAUGGGCGCAAGCCUGAUGCAGCGACGCCGCGUGGGGGAUGACGGCCUUCGGGUUGGAAACUCCUUUCGCUAGGGACGAAGCUUUUUGUGACGGUACCUAGAUAAGAAGCACCGGCUAACUACGUG